CCUACGGGAGGCAGCAGUGGGGAAUUUUGGACAAUGGGCGAAAGCCUGAUCCAGCAAUGCCGCGUGAGUGAAGAAGGCCUUCGGGUUGUAAAGCUCUUUUGUCAGGGAAGAAACGGUGAGAGCUAAUAUCUUUUGCCAAUGACGGUACCUGAAGAAUAAGCACCGGCUAACUACGUGCCAGCAGCCGCGGUAAUACGUAGGGUGCAAGCGUUAAUCGGAAUUACUGGGCGUAAAGCGUGCGCAGGCGGUUUUGUAAGUCUGAUGUGAAAUCCCCGGGCUCAACCUGGGAAUUGCAUUGGAGACUGCAAGGCUAGAAUCUGGCAGAGGGGGGUAGAAUUCCACGUGUAGCAGUGAAAUGCGUAGAUAUGUGGAGGAACACCGAUGGCGAAGGCAGCCCCCUGGGUCAAGAUUGACGCUCAUGCACGAAAGCGUGGGGAGCAAACAGGAUUAGAUACCCUGGUAGUCCACGCCCUAAACGAUGUCUACUAGUUGUCGGGUCUUAAUUGACUUGGUAACGCAGCUAACGCGUGAAGUAGACCGCCUGGGGAGUCGGUUCGCAAGNUUAAAACCGUCAAAAGGUUGUUAGNGGACGNGNGAGAGCGACGACGACGACGACGGAGGAGGAGG
rnacentral:rRNA from 1 species